rnacentral:tRNA from 1 species
AUUUAAGUAGUUUAAACAAAAUUUUAGUUUGUGGAACUAAAGAUGUCCAAUGGAUUUUAAAUA